rnacentral:lncRNA from 10 species
CUGGGGCGCUGGUCGGUGCGCGGGCUGGGACGCUAAGUCAUGAGGAAUUAAACUGGGAAACCUGGCGUGGGUCCAGGCGCCUUCCAGGAGGCAUCCGGCGCGGCCCGGACGUGCUUCUACCCAGAACCACCCCCUCCAGGCCGGGGUGCACUUAACGGGGCUAUACAAAGAGUCUGGUGGGUGACUGUGGGCCUCAUCCCUAUCCCGGGGUCUGAUAGGGAAGACUCUCGGGCCCCGCAGGGAAUAUCUGGCUAGUGCACCCUCGGCGGGAGCGCCACUCUCCCUCCUUGGGCGGCGCCCCCCACCUCUCAUCCCGCCCAAUCCGUUUUGCAAAGUCGGCCAAAACAAAAACAAACUUGGAGCGCUGAUAGACACUGUUAUUGCCCAUCUGAACUCGUCAACUGAGAAGGAAAGAGAUGGUUUAUGCUGUGAAUAAAAUACAGUUGUGCUGUGAUGUAAAUCCCCUCAUCCUGGAGCAGCUGAGCAAGGUCUAAGGCAGGAAGAACCUUCAAGCAGGUCAUGGCUUGCAGGCUCAACUCUGCCUGGCAGUGGCAAGGGCCAGGGCCAGUGACUGAAGCAACAAACUGCCAGAUGACUGCAGCUCAAGCCAAUGCACAAAGCCACUGCAACAAGAGAGGAAAUUCUUCCAUUUCCAAGUGUGUCGAUUUCUCCCCAUCAAGGAAAACAGCUAAGGCAAUGUGUUGAUAUUUUCUUUGACCAAGUCAUCAGGAGUCACAUAGACAUACAGCACUCAAGAAGUGGCUGUAACUAAAGGCACAUCUCGUUCAUCUACAACCCUUGUAAUCCCAACCUUUGUCUGAUGCACAAACCCUUCCCUAGUUCUCCCCACCACCACCACUGCACCUCCAAGUGGGGACAACGAAUUGUUUCAUUUGCAUGUGGUUUUUCUCAUGAAAAAUAUCAUUAACAUGAGACAGCCCCAAACCAAGGAAACCAGAAGUGGGGUUUGUGCUUGGUCUUACUGAGAGCUUUCCCUACUUGACCAGACCCCAGCAUUGUUCUAGAUUUGUCUCUUGUGGGCUACAGGAAUGCAAACAUUUUGUAGUUUCCUCUUUUUUGUUUUCUUAAUGGCUUGAUGAGCCACACAUGUUUCUCUAAAUGCAUGAUUUUAAAUUCACACAA